rnacentral:rRNA from 1 species
CAAAUGACUCUUGGCAAUGGAUAUCUCGGCUCUUGCAUCGAUGAAGAACGUAGUGAAAUGCGAUACUUAGUGUGAAUUGCAGAAUCUCGUGAACCAUUGAGUCUUUGAACGCAAGUUGUGCCCGAGGCCUUGUGGUCGAGGGCACGCCUGCUUGGGUGUCAUG